GCCUAACACAUGCAAGUCGAACGAAGCACUUCUGGUUGAGAUUCGUCAAGAACUGGAUUUGACUUAGUGGCGGACGGGUGAGUAAUGUAUGAGCAACCUGCCUUUCAGAGGGGGACAACAGUUGGAAACGACUGCUAAUACCGCAUAAUGUAUUAUAAGGGCAUCCUUGUGAUACCAAAGGAGCAAUCCGCUGAAAGAUGGGCUCAUAUCUGAUUAGUUAGUUGGCAGGGUAACGGCCUACCAAGACUGCGAUCAGUAGCCGGACUGAGAGGUUGAACGGCCACAUUGGGACUGAGAUACGGCCCAGACUCCUACGGGAGGCAGCAGUGGGGAAUAUUGGGCAAUGGGCGAAAGCCCUGACCCAGCAACGCCGCGUGAAGGAAGAAGGUCUUCGGAUUGUAAACUUCUUUUAUGAGGGACGAAGGAAGUGACGGUACCUCAUGAAUAAGCCACGGCUAACUACGUGCCAGCCGCCGC
rnacentral:rRNA from 1 species